CCUACGGGAGGCAGCAGUGAGGAAUAUUGGUCAAUGGGCGCGAGCCUGAACCAGCCAAGUAGCGUGAAGGAUGACUGCCCUACGGGUUGUAAACUUCUUUUAUAAAGGAAUAAAGUGCGGCACGUGUGCCUUUUUGUAUGUACUUUAUGAAUAAGGAUCGGCUAACUCCGUGCCAGCAGCCGCGGUAAUACGGAGGAUCCGGACGUUAUCCGGAUUUAUUGGGUUUAAAGGGUGCGUAGGCGGCCUUUUAAGUCAGCGGUGAAAGUCUGUGGCUCAACCAUAGAAUUGCCGUUGAAACUGGGGGGCUUGAGUAUGUUUGAGGCAGGCGGAAUGCGUGGUGUAGCGGUGAAAUGCUUAGAUAUCACGCAGAACCCCGAUUGCGAAGGCAGCCUGCCAAGCCAUGACUGACGCUGAUGCACGAAAGCGUGGGGAUCAAACAGGAUUAGAUACCCUAGUAGUC
rnacentral:rRNA from 1 species